rnacentral:rRNA from 1 species
CGGCAACAGCUCAAAUUUGAAAUCUGGCGCAAGCCCGAGUUGUAAUUUGUAGAGGAUGCUUUUGGCGCGGCGCCGUCCGAGUUCCUUGGAACAGGACGCCAUAGAGGGUGAGAGCCCCGUACGGUUGGAUGCCUAGCCUCUGUGAAACUCCUUCGAC